rnacentral:lncRNA from 1 species
GUCGCUUCUCUUCCUUCCACGAUUAAUUAAUCACCAUGCCUUUGUGUUCUAUAGGUAACAUGCAUAGUCGCAUUUGUCAUCCAUUCUUAUGAUUAUUCAGAUUGAGUUAUUUUUGGAGAAAAACGACAAAAAAGGAGUCCGGAUAUUGAUUCCGUCAUCAGACUGACUUUAAGUCAUAGAUAAGACUUCCGGUUUAAAACAACCAAUCGUAUGAUAGAUAACAAAAAUCGAAAAAUAAAUAAGCCAAUCAGAGCGUUCUCCAUAUCAUGGUGUUUAGAUCGCAAGAACCACAACUAUUAUACCUCCUUAGAGAGGACAAUUAUUUUACGCGUUUUAUCUACAUGUAAACUACGAUUAUGCUACUUUAAUAUAUAGAUCCUCUCUGUAUUCUGUCUACUGUUUUCUUUGAAAUGUUUACUAUUUAAGGGGUCAUACCAGUUGCAUAUAUAUUAAAAUAAGUAAAACAUGUGGAAACAAGAAUGUGUCCAUAGUACACAGAUGCCACCUCGGCACUAUAUUUACUAAGUUUCGAGUUGAUUGGACUUCAACUUCAUCAAAAACUACCUCGACCAAAAACUUUAACCUGAAGCGGGACAGACGGACGGACGUCACGAACGAACGAACGAACGCACGGAUGUACAGACUAGAAAACAUAAUGCACAUAAAUGGGGCAUAAAAAUUUAUUGUUGAAAGUGAAAGUAGUGAUUUGGCAAAAAUGAAAGUAGGGUAGAGACUAGAGGGAGGCAGGACCUUUUCGGGACUUCGGGAUCGGGUGUUUUUAAGCUCGGGAUCUGGGGAUUGAUCAAUACGGGAUCCGGGAAUAUAUUUUUCGAUUUCGGUAUUUCGGGAUAUGAAUUUCUUUAAAUUCUGCAUCUCGGGAUUUCAUGUUUUUAAGACCGGGAUUUCGGGAUCAGGACCCCUCCGACCACCCCUCAAAUUAGCCUUAGUCGGUCUUAGUCAUUUAUACAAGAUUCAUAUCCUACCAUUGGCAUGUUA